rnacentral:rRNA from 1 species
GAUGAACGCUGGCGGCGUGCCUAAUACAUGCAAGUCGAGCGAACAGACGAGGAGCUUGUUCCUCUGACGUUAGCGGCGGACGGGUGAGUAACACGUGGAUAACCUACCUAUAAGACUGGGAUAACAUCGGGAAACCGGAGCUAAUACCGGAUAAUAUAUUGAACCGCAUGGUUCAAUAGUGAAAGACGCUUUUGCUGUCACUAAUAGAUGGAUCCGGGUCUCAUUAGUUAGUUGGUAAGGUAACGGCUUACCAAGGCAACGAAGCGUAGCCGACCUGAGAGGGUGAUCGGCCACACUGGAACUGAGACACGGUCCAGACUCCUACGGGAGGCAGCAGUAGGGAAUCUUCCGCAAUGGGCGAAAGCCUGACGGAGCAACGCCGCGUGAGUGAUGAAGGUCUUCGGAUCGUAAAACUCUGUUGUUGGGAAAGAACAAAUGUGGAAGUAACUAUGCACGUCUUGACGGUACCUAAUCAGAAAGCCACGGCUAACUACGUG